rnacentral:rRNA from 1 species
AGUGGCGGACGGGUGAGUAACGCGUGAGAAUCUGGCUUCAGGUCGGGGAUAACUACUGGAAACGGUGGCUAAUACCGGAUGUGCCGAAAGGUAAAAGGCUUGCUGCCUGAAGAUGAGCUCGCGUCUGAUUAGCUAGUUGGUGUGGUAAGAGCACACCAAGGCGACGAUCAGUAGCUGGUCUGAGAGGAUGAUCAGCCACACUGGGACUGAGACACGGCCCAGACUCCUACGGGAGGCAGCAGUGGGGAAUUUUCCGCAAUGGGCGAAAGCCUGACGGAGCAAUACCGCGUGAGGGAGGAAGGCUCUUGGGUUGUAAACCUCUUUUCUCAGGGAAGAAAAAAAUGACGGUACCUGAGGAAUCAGCAUCGGCUAACUCCGUGCCAGCAGCCGCGGUAAUACGGAGGAUGCAAGCGUUAUCCGGAAUGAUUGGGCGUAAAGCGUCCGCAGGUGGCUAUGUAAGUCUGCUGUUAAAGAGCAAAGCUUAACUUUGUAAAAGCAGUGGAAACUACAUAGCUAGAGUGCGUUCGGGGCAGAGGGAAUUCCUGGUGUAGCGGUGAAAUGCGUAGAGAUCAGGAAGAACACCGGUGGCGAAGGCGCUCUGCUAGGCCGCAACUGACACUGAGGGACGAAAGCUAGGGGAGCGAAUGGGAUUAGAUACCCCAGUAGUCCUAGCCGUAAACGAUGGAUACUAGGCGUUGCGAGUAUCRACCCUCGCAGUGCCGGAGCCAACGCGUUAAGUAUCCCGCCUGGGGAGUACGCACGCAAGUGUGAAACUCAAAGGAAUUGACGGGGGCCCGCACAAGCGGUGGAGUAUGUGGUUUAAUUCGAUGCAACGCGAAGAACCUUACC